AGUGCAACCAGAGUCACACCCAUGGAUGAAGUCAAUGAAGUUGAUCUAGCUCCAUAGCCUCCACGACGGCCAUCAAACCUGUUUUUCACCACAUUUUACAGGUAAAACCCACAUCCAAACCUCCAAUGCAACAUGACCAACAUUAAGACUAUUGCGGCCAGGCGCAGUGGCUCACGUCUGUAAUUCCAGCACUUGGGAAGGCUGAGGCAGGCGGUUCACGAGGUCAGGAGAUCAAGACCAUCCUGGCUAAUGUGGUGAAACCCCAUUCCUACUAAAAAUACAAAAAAUUAGCUGGGCAUGGUGGUGGGCGCCUGUAGUCCCAGCUACUUGGGAGGCUGAGGCCAGAGAAUGGUGUGAACCCGGCAGGCGGAGCUUGCAGUGAGCCGAGAUCACCCCACUACGCUGCAGCCUGGGCGACACAGCAACACUCUGUCUCAAAAAAAAAAAAAAAGAAAAAAAGACUAUUGCUUCCUUUUUCCUGCUCUUUCAAGUAUUAAAAUGCAGCUAUUUUUGCAACCUAAGCCAUAGUACUCUAUUCGGAUCAGAAUUAGAAUUAAGUACCAUUGCUUCAUCUUUUGUCAAACCAACUAUAAAGCCAGGUUUUCCCUCAUGCUGAACUCACAUAAUGGAUUGUUUAGAAUUCAAGGGCAGGACUUCACAUUUAGGAAUAUUCAACGUUAGGAUUUUUUGGCUUGUUGAGAUUUUUGAAUUGUCAUUCAUUGUUCUACAAAUCUUCUCUGGAUUUACAUUAUCUGUAAACUUAAUAACUGUAAGUGGUGAGUGAAAAUGAAUUGCAUGAGGCUAAGGACAUAAAACUGGUAUAAGCCAUAAGAGAUCUCUCACAAGUUGAUUAAUGGUUCAUUUAAACCACCAUGGUGAUAGCCACGAUUCCCAAACUUUUUUUUUUUUUAAAUCAUGCAUCAGAAUCGCCUGGUGGGCUUACUAAAAUUGAUUGUUGGGUCUCAUCAAUUUCUGAUGUCCUUCUGAGCACUUGCAUUUCUAACAAGUUCCCAGGUAAUGUGAUGACCAACUUUGGGAAGCAUUGCUUUAUGGGCACAAUUAAUUAUUCAAUAAGCUUCCAUCACACAACCCAACCGAUUCUUUAUGAACCUUGUAAUGUGAAGUUUGGCUUGACUUAUUCUUAUGUUGGAUGUAUGCUGACCCCCAGAGAUAUAUUUUAUGCUGCUGUACAAACUGAUUAGAUAUUAUUAUACUUCCACGUCCAUAAUUUUAAAGCUUUCAAUGAGAAAGAAUGGGUUAAAUAGUUUAGUUUAGUUAGGGAACCUGAACUCUGGCCAAUUGUAAUAGCCACAGGGUUGCUUCAAAUACAUGUUUAAAUGUUGACAUUGCCAAAGAUGAAAUUAAACCCUCCUAUAGUGAUGUUGCUGUUUUCAAACAGAUCUAAGUUCACAAAGAUUGCAGUCUAUUAGAAAAUAAAUAUUAAGCCUUUCCACACUGACAACUUGUCAGCAACAAAUAUUGAAUUACAACUUGUAGGAUUGGAUUUAGAAAAAAAUUUAGUCAAUGAAUGGGAAUUUCAACCUUUCGUUGUUAAGGAGAAAUACCUUAGUUUCUCCUGUCUCAUUCAUUGAGUCCGCCUAAAGGGUGAUAUUUGGCAGAUUUUGGUACCUUAGUUAAAGAUUCGGUAAGCUUUUGAUAAUAUGUAUAUUGAGUAAAAUAGCCGUUCAGUGGCCAUAUCUGCCCUGAUCCCAAAAUAUACUCAAACAACGUUUUCACUUCAUUUAUUCCUUUGAAACAAGUCACUUAAUACAGCAUUUAGAUAUUUAAAGUCAUACACCUCAUAAAUAAAAUCAAUGCAUCUUAAUGACAAUGGCAAAAUCACAUAAGAGUUGUAGAAAAUGAAGUUAGACAUCUUCCAGGUAGCAGCAGUGCAUUACUUCAAAAAAUGCUGGCAAGUAGGCAAAACAUUUUUAAAACAAGAAAACACUGUCCAUCUGCAUUAAGAAAAAAUAUUUUCUUAUGCUGUUUUGCCCAUCCCUACUUUUUCAAGUCAUAUUCUAAAGCUCUAAUUUGACGGUCUUUACUUGUGGUUUUCUUUUUGUGUUAGGAACCUCUGUCUCUACUGCAUUAAUACAGAAACUAUAGGAAUAUUGUUGUUCUCUAACCCUUUUCACAAGCUAUUCAUAUUCAUUCUGUAUUUAGGCUGAAUUCAAAUUUUUUUCAAGGAAAAAUACUAUUCUGCUAAGUACAUAUUUCCUGUAAACAGCUGGAGUCCUGAAUGGCACCAAUGUGACUGGAAAACUGACAAAAAUUAGGUCCCCUGGUCCUUUAAGUAACUUACGGGCUAAUUACAUAGCCUAUACCAGUUUAUAAAGUAGACUCAUGUAAUUAUAUUAGAAAUUCUGAGCCUAAGAUGAUCCUUUCUGUUUACCUACAACUUAAUCAAAUUAUAUCUUCACCAUUCCUAAACUCCUAUAUGUUGGUUAGUACUUUUAAAAACAUAUGUAUAAAAGGGCAUCAUGGCAAAAUGCUUAUAAUUCAUGGUUUCAUACUUUAAUGAUAAGCUUUUUCACCUAUGGCCAUGCUACAUUCUAUGACAAGAAAUGGGGAAGAAGGGUUGAGUUGACACAAAGGCAUUGCUUUAAAAAUGUUUGGAAAAGCGUAAUUCAUGACUAGGAAUGCAUCUAUUUGACAAUCUCUUCUUUAUCAGUGGUACUUUGUCCUCUUGGCCCUUUUCUCCCUUCACUCUACCAUGAGGGGGUUACCAACCUCCUUUAAAUGUGUAUGAAUCAAGACCUAAAUCAGCACCCUACAAUUCAACAUCAAUAAUAAUUUUAAGUCAAAUAUUCAAAGCACUGUAAGCAAAAUGCUAGAUAAUUUUGAGAAAAAUAAACACUCUCCCACAACCAGCGACACUUAAUAUUCUUUUUAUGUGGAAUGAAAUGUGCUGAAAUACUGUAACAUAAGAAAACAGCUUUAGUUAAUAAACUAGCUUAUUCAAAUCAAGUGUUUCACUUUGGACUUAAAAUGAUGCCACUUGUAUAGGACACGUUUAAGGCCUCUGACUCAAAAAUCAGCUUCCUUAUAAGUCUGCUUGGAAACAAGUUUUAAGGAUCAAAUCUUUUAGAAAUUAUCAGUCAUCUCUGCACUACAAGGACAAAUUUGAAUACUGCAUUGUAUAAUAAUACAAGAUAUUCACAUUAUAAUAAUAAGUAACAUUUUUAAUGCUAGGGCACAGACCAUACUCCUAAUAGUUACUGAAAUUGAGUUCUACUGUUAUCAAAACACCAGAAUGUUGUGCCAAUAGAUACACUCUACACUGAUGGCAAUCUUUGAUUAAGAAGAGCUGAUGGUUAGUAGCUCAAGAAUUGUACUUUAAUGUCCUUAAUUAGAUCCCUAGAGGGCCAACAUGUAAACUUUUAUUCCAUAUAUAUGUUUUAAAGUGCUGCAAACAAAUGUGUCUCCACACAUGAAAGAACAUAAUUCUUAGUAUGUUUAGGAAGGCCACCUGAUUUGUCAAAAAAAAAAAAAAAUCACUGUU